AACGUAGGAGACGAACGUUAUCCGGAGUUACUGGGCGUAAAGGGCGCGUAGGCGGCCACCGCAAGUCGAUUGUGAAAUCUCCGGGCUUAACCCGGAAAGGUCAACCGAUACUGCGGGGCUAGAGUGCAGAAGGGGCAACUGGAAUUCUCGGUGUAGCGGUGAAAUGCGUAGAUAUCGAGAGGAACACCUGCGGCGAAGGCGGGUUGCUGGGCUGACACUGACGCUGAAGUGCGAAAGCUAGGGGAGCGAACAGG
rnacentral:rRNA from 1 species